CCAAACUUGGUCAUUUAGAGGAAGUAAAAGUCGUAACAAGGUUUCCGUAGGUGAACCUGCGGAAGGAUCAUUACCGAGUGAGGGCCCUCUGGGUCCAACCUCCCACCAUCUGUGAACCUUUAACCGUUGCUUUGGCGGACCGGCUCUGCCCCCCGGCGUUGUCGGGGCGCGUCCGCCAGAGGACCUUUAAACCCGUUUAACCUUGAAAUCAGAGUCCAAUGAAAAUAAAUCAAAACUUUCAACAACGGAUCUCUUGGUUCUGGCAUCGAUGAAGAACGCAGC
rnacentral:misc_RNA from 1 species